UACAGAGGUCCCGAGCGUUGUUCGGAUUCACUGGGCGUAAAGGGUGCGUAGGUGGCUUGAUAAGUUUGAUGUGAAAUCUCCGGGCUCAACCCGGAAAAUGCAUUGAAUACUGUCGGGCUGGAGGUUUGGAGGGGGGACUGGAAUUCUCGGUGUAGCAGUGAAAUGCGUAGAUAUCGAGAGGAACACCAGUGGCGAAGGCGAGUCCCUGGACAACACCUGACACUGAGGCACGAAAGCGAGGGGAGCAAACAGG
rnacentral:rRNA from 1 species